rnacentral:rRNA from 1 species
GGGCCCGCACAAGCAGUGGAGCAUGUGGUUUAAUUCGAUGCAACGCGAAGAACCUUACCAGGCCUUGACAUCCCCGGAACUUUCUAGAGAUAGAUUGGUGCCUUCGGGAAUGUAGAUACAGGUGGUGCAUGGCUGUCGUCAGCUCGUGUCGUGAGAUGUUGGGUUAAGUCCCGCAACGAGCGCAACCCUUAUUUUUAGUUACCAACUUGUUGGGUUUUCUAGAAAGACUGCCGGUGACAAACCGGAGGAAGGUGAGGAUGACGUCAAGUCAGCAUGCCCCUUAUGUCCUGGGCUACACACGUGCUACAAUGGCCGGUACAAAGGGUUGCGAAACAGCGAUGUGAAGCCAAUCCCAAAAAACCGGCCUCAGUUCGGAUAGGAGUCUGCAACUCGACUCCUUGAAGUCGGAAUCGCUAGUAAUCGU